AAACCUGGAGGAAUCAUUGCUCUUCUGGAUGAGGCGUGUAUGUUUCCAAGAUCAACAAAUGAGACUUUUGUGCAGAAGCUGUAUCAAACCUAUAAAGACCACAAACGAUUUAGCAAGCCGAAAUUAGCACGCAGUGACUUCACAAUUUGUCAUUAUGCUGGAGAAGUUACAUAUCAAACGGAGCUCUUCUUGGAUAAGAACAAAGAUUAUGUUGUUGCUGAACAUCAAGAACUUUUGGAUGCUUCCCAUUGUUCUUUUGUU